UUAACGCCUAUCGCUUUUUUGGGGUGUUUGUGUGACUGGGUGCGUAUCUGUGAGUGUGCUUUCUGCACUUUUAAGCCUUUACAAAUCAAAAUUAAUCCGGAGCCCUCCACUACGGCGUGCCUCAUAAUCAAAACUGGUUUUGGCACGAAAAACCCCAGAAAUAAUAAUAAGAAGAAGCUAAAUUACCAAAGAGCCAACGCCAAACUCCUCUAUGCGAUAACUCAGUAUGCCCAGUUUGGAAACGCCGCGUUCAGGAUAGAAGAGCCUCAACGCUUUUCCUAUCGAGCGUCCGCAGUUAUUGCUGCCGUUUUUCGUACACUAAUAUUUCGUAACACCAAUAUUUCGUAAUAAAGUGUCAUAGAAAUACACACAUAUAAAGGCGAUGUGGAUCUAAACUUUGUUUGGAAAAAGUAGGCAAUGAAGAAAUAAAGUACGGCGUACAAGUUUUAUGAUAUUAUUAACACUCUUGAAUGGUAUUGUUUACGCAUUUACGCAGGAAGACCCCUUAUAUAAACGAAAACAAGCUACUAUUGAGGGGGAAAGGGCAUUGGAUGGAGUAAAAGCUCUUUACAGAGAAGGAAAAGUACCAGGAAAUCCUGACUUGGUGUUCAUGCUGACAACCAUAGAUUUGUUCGAAAUACGAGCUGGUGGAAAAAUCAACAAGGACCAAGACGGAAUUGGAGCUGUUGGAGCAAUCUGCACAAAGGAGGCUGCAGGAGUGGGCGAAGACAUCCCUACUUCUUACUCGGGAACCCAAAUAAUGGCUCAUGAACUUGCC